UACUUAUACCGGUGUAGAACGUAGGGGUAAAAGUAGGAGAAGAAGGACUCGAGUAUAACGUUUAGACUACUAUGAGAAUGUGUACGUUUUGGUGAGAAAAGGCCGCUGUUCGAGCAGAGGUCGUUCCCUCAGAAACGAGAGCCGAAGAAGAAGGGUCGCUCGAGGUUGUGCUCGGAUAUGGAACCAUAUACCGUGUUAGUCUAUGGGCUAGCUGAGAAACACACCUAGCGGUUGGCGCUAUUGGGUUAUUGAUGUGGAAGAAGACGGUACGAGCGAUAGUUAUCGUCGAGGUAGCAACAGGUUUGCUGGUAGCCGGAUGUUCCACUUGAGAUGAAAUACAAGUGUCAGAGACUACCUAGUGGUAAGUGGAAGAAGUACGAACUCGUGAGACCGUUCAACUGUAGAGAUUCGACCCUGUUAGUCAGUAGGAACAAUCUGUUGCAAUGUAUGACAGUGCUAGGGCUGGUCCUCCACCACAAGCCGACCACAAUCCGUAUCUCUAUCUAAACCAACAAUCAAAUUUGCAUAAUGUUAACAUUGAUAGAGAUAGAGGAAGAGGUUCAUUAGAGAGGACUCUAAGGGAGAGACAUUGCUAGACUAGAGGGAUAUGGCUAGCAACCCCAGCGUAGGGGGAGAGGUAUAUUGCACUUGGUGCAGGGAGCUCUCUCCAUUCUGCAAAAGGCGAUAGCGUGUACCAUCAGUCUCGGAAGGAAAAGGGUAGACUUCGUAGACAGCUUAGGUAGAUUCGGAUCGGUACAGAAGGAGGAGGCGGAGGCCACGGAAGAGGAGUUUGGAGUUAUCGGUCCAGUGCCUCUUCGGCAGGGCGUGCUUGAUACACGAUACCGCUUGCGUUUAGUGGGGGGUUGACGCACCACGGCCGCAGAUGCCGAUGCAACUGCCGUGGUGUGGCCUCGGCCGCUUCGAGGAGUAGUGGUGGUUUCUUCCGUUCCUCUGAAGUAGUGGGUUGGGAGAGGUGGGAGAGACCCAGGCCCUCCUGGUCGUCCAGGAACCGAAGGACGACCGGUUGGAGUGUUUCCUCCAAGACCACUGCCACUGGUGCCAGUGGUGCCGCUCGCGCGAGACCUCCUGCGAGCGACGGUACAAGAGCAGCGUGAGCCGCUCGGCGUAGUUGUUGUAGGUGUGGAGGGAGUAGUUACACGUCUUCCCAUUAGAGAGCCAACGGAGAAUGAAACGACGGUACGCUCCUAAACGUCUACUUGAUCGGCGCCACCCGUUCCGGUAGGUCCUACUGCUUGAUCAGAGGAUGUAGUAGGUGCCCGAUCUGCGGCUAAUGGUCGGAAACCACAGACGAGAGCUGCGAGCACACUGGGGGCAGUGUGAGUUACUUGAGAUGCGGUACGAGAGGUUGAAGCUGGUCGCACACCGAGUAAUGGUGCCCAGGCCGCCGCCGCCGCCGAAGUUCAGAAGUCGGUUGUACCGCAGCGCACCCGCCCCAUCGCCGAGGGCAAGUGCACCGGGAGGAGAUUUGUUUCCCGCUAGACCACCGCCGCCGCCGUCACUGGCGCCGAGGAGAGGAGUCGCGUGCCCGCCGUCUCCGGCGCCGGCAUCGCCAGCACCGUCGCCGUUGUCUUGCGCGGGGCUGUGAGGUACGACGGUUUAGACGCCCUUUGGACCUGUGUGUCGUUUCCUAACGACCAUGUCCAUACUGCUCCUACUACUACUAAGGGUCCUGCUACAACGACGCCGCCGACUACCCAGGAUGCCGCAGCUGUGUUUAACCAUGCAGCUAUCACCCCGGUGUUUGGUGUAGUGGUUACUUGAGCUCUUCCACUGGUACUUCCUUUUUAUAGCGCCGUUCCUAGUUUAGGUGUGACGAUCGCCUCUUCCUAGUCCGUUGCUCCCUUUAUGAGAUAGCUCCAUCUACACAAGCUCCCGAGAUAGGCAACUAAGGUCUCAAAUCUUCUAAGUUAUUUGUUCGAACACCACGAUAGUUCGAAUGCAGGUGUGCUACCGUGCUGGCAAAUCCUGUACGGAGAAAAAGAAAUCAACUUUUCAACGAAUCCUUUUUAUUCGAAGGCAAACAACCACUCGUAGUACAACUUUGUUAAACACUAAGUACAGUUGCUCGUUUUUCAGUAGUUAAUGGUAUGGGACAAAGAUGAUCACAAAGAUGGUUUGGAGAGGUUGAAAAAAAAAGACUACAAACCCCAGGUCGGGGUGUGAGACAACCAUCUGUAUGCAUAAUACAGUCAAAAUAACUACUGAUGUCAUUUAAGAGAACCUAGAUAGAAGAGUUUUCUUCUAAUCUACACAAAGUUCAAAAGGUUUUGAAGGUUCGAGAGCAACUUGCGUUCAAACUAUCGUUUUAUUAGCGACAGGUUAGUCUGACCCCCCCCCCCCUCAUGUUUUUCGACUUGAGGAAGAAGGUUUUGGAACCAUAGAGAGUGGUUCAUAGUACGGGUGUACGAGUGGUUGUUUUGCCGAGUCGACUUGCGUUCGUAUCUGUGUAGCAUCUCCAUCCGGAACGAGAAAACCGUCCUCGGAGGUACGGAGAGUUCAAAACCCUACUUCGUAAGGAGUGACGACAAGUGUAAUAGUUGUACGAUGGGUCAGCACAGUAAUUAUUACUUUGAGGCCAUCUUGCGGAGGAAGUGUGUUUUGGUCUGAUGUUUAGAGAAGCUCACAAACCCACACGUACAACCGGUUUAGAGGUAGGGAUGUUGUUAGCGUUUGAGUACAAAGCUAGUUUUGUCACACAGAAGGAUCCUAUGUCGCGGGUCGUAUUUCCACAGUUUACAGAUCUACAGAGGUGACCAGCGCAGAUGUAGAGUGCACUGCAGCAUAAGCUACUUUGGUUUAAGGGUAAACGACUAGAAGUGGGGUUACAACCGCGAGAAGAAGCUUUUCUUUAGGAGGAAGACGGAAGGGUAGAGUGAUCAAAACUAGUUCCCCCCGUUUUAUAACUACUAGUUAAUCACUGAUUGAGUAGAUUACUAGACGUACUCGAAACACAACUACUAUGUCCUCUUUAAGCACUUCUUUAACGACGACUUUUUUAAGUCUACCUGGUAUAAAAUACACAGGGUGGUCUCCUCUGUCUAGGAGGAGCCCUAGGCAGGUCCUCGCCGUUUAGUCUAGGCGAGGCCCUAGCCUCGGGUUGCGUCCGUGUCCGCUCGCACGCCAGAGGGGACUAAGGGCGUCACGGCCAGGGUGCUCGCUGUGCGCCCGGAGCAGGCGACCGACGCGACCGAAGGGACGAGGCGCAGUUAGCGGCGGGAGGUGAACCGGCCGAGGCCCACCGGGUCUGCGACGCGCGGUGGGGUAGGUUGGCCACUGCAUGUUCUCCGCAUGUCCAUGCGCCAGGUCCCUCCCGCGCCCCGGACCACGCCCGGGCUGGCGGGGACCGUGCCUUUGAGCGCGUCUAGGUCCGCGUCUAGGCUGGCCGCGCCUUUGAGUUCACCUACACCGUCGAGGCCCUAGAAUACACCGACGAAGUCCGCAGGGCGGAGCGCAAAGUUGGCGUCUUCUAGGCUGCGGCGACCCACCGCGACGACGAUGACGACGGCUUAGGAGGAACCCAAGACCAGGUCGGUUACUAAACCCCUGAUGCCCUAGGAAACACCGUCGUCUAUACUUACGAGUCGUCGGUGCAGCAUGUGCGGAAGUUGUUCCCUUUUAAGUUGGAUAGUUGAUGUUCGUAUAUAGGUUCAUACCAUACCAGACAAGGUGUCCACUUGGUCUACUUGGAUUGUGGGAACUUCGUCGUAACACACUACUAUCCACCUUAUUUCGGUACUUACUUCUCAUAUACCGUAACUUCUUUUUGUUUUGUACCGUAAACCAAGGGGGUGUCGUUCUCCUACCUCAGAGUCUGUCGAACUACAAGUCUUGCACAAAGAGGUACCACAAGACCUUCUCCUUCACAUGUACUUUGUUGGAGGACCCAAACUCUCAUUCUUACGAGGAAGUAUACAUACGUUCGAACUAUUCCGUGAUAUACCCAACUUUGUCCGAGGUUCCCGUACCAUACGAGCAGAGACAGUGUAUUACGUUCGUGAACCAAAACAAGGGAGAUUUAGACUGUGUAGUAACAAGUAGAUGUUGUUCAGAUUGUGUACGUAUAAACAAGAGUAUAUACAACUACUAUAAUAACAUUGGUCGAGUAGACUACUUCGAUAGUCUCCUGAAGAAUUCCUAGAUUCACGUCUUAAACGAGAUUUCCUAGAACCACUGAACGUGAUAAAAGAACCCUAACUCCACUUCUUCGUGUUUCUACCUGAAGACGAGAGAGUUCUUUUUAUACGGUAACUAAACCAAUUCUUCCGACCCAAUGUCCCUACGUUCGGAAGGGAGUGUGGUAACAGAUCAAGUCUUUUUGAUAGAGAACGUCUUCCACUUGGGAACUUAGUUCUCCUGUCGUGCUUUAUGUCCUCAAACCAUCCUCGAGAAGUCAUGGAAUACGAAUGGUCUGGCCUAGACAGAAAACGACAAUUGUUUCAGACAAUCAAAGAAGUACGUGGAUGGUUACAAGUAAACUGUCGACGUUUUGCAUAUCAAGCCAUACACUUCGUAUGAGACUUGAACCCUGACUUGAAAUCGUUUAGUGGGAAAUGAGAACAGUCACGUAAGAGACUGAGUCUAACCCGUCCGACAGAACUACUGUCUGUGAGGUGACCACCGAAACGUCAUAAGAAACCUGGUUUAAACUAUAGUACCACACGUGCAUUUGUCCGGUGACACAGGUCCAGCUCAUGUCUCCGUCUUAUGUUCCGUAACCGAUUACGAUGUCGACUUUAUUAUACCCAAGUCAAAUACAACUUCCUUGAACCACAUGUUUCAUUCGUUCGAGGGACGAAUACCACACUGUUAGAACCACGGUGUAUAGAAAGACGUUUAGGCCACAAAGUACGGUCCUGUUUCGUGCAUCUCUAACUAAAAGUGAAACAGUCUCUUUCUCAACGAGUCUUUGUUGAACUGUAAGCGAAACACGUAAGGUCUCUAGUUGAACGUCUACCUAAGUGUUUCGGGAACGGAUGUUCUUCGAAACUUCUGAAGUUCGUAUUAGAGUUGAACUACUUCAACACUAAUUCCCUCCCACAAUCUGUUGCAAUGUAUGAUAGUGCUAGGGUUGGGCCUCCACCACAAGCCGACCACAAUCCGUAUCUCUAUCUAAACCAAUAAUCAAAUUUGCAUAAUGUUAACAUUGAUAGAGAUAGAGGAAGAGGUUUAUUAGAGAGGACUCUAAGGGAGAGACAUUGCUAGACUAGAGGGACAUGGCUAGCAACCCCAGCGCAGGGGGAGAGGUAUAUUUCACUUGGUGCA
rnacentral:rRNA from 1 species